AGUCGAGCGGAAAGGCCCUUCGGGGUACUCGAGCGGCGAACGGGUGAGUAACACGUGAGCAACCUGCCCCAGGCUUUGGGAUAACCCCGGGAAACCGGGGCUAAUACCGAAUAUGACCUCUGACCGCAUGGUUGGGGGUGGAAAGUUUUUCGGCUUGGGAUGGGCUCGCGGCCUAUCAGCUUGUUGGUGGGGUGAUGGCCUACCAAGGCGACGACGGGUAGCCGGCCUGAGAGGGCGACCGGCCACACUGGGACUGAGACACGGCCCAGACUCCUACGGGAGGCAGCAGUGGGGAAUAUUGCACAAUGGGCGGAAGCCUGAUGCAGCGACGCCGCGUGAGGGAUGACGGCCUUCGGGUUGUAAACCUCUUUCAGCAGGGACGAAGCGUAAGUGACGGUACUUGCCGAAAAAGCGCCGGCCAACUACGUGCCCAGCAGCCGCGGGUAAGACGUAGGGCGCGAGCGUUUGUCCGGAUUUAUUGGGCGUAAAGAGCUCGUAGGCGGCUUUGUCGCGUCGACCGUGAAAACUUGGGGCUCAACCCC
rnacentral:rRNA from 1 species